AUGCUUCGCCAGCACAUAUACUAAAAUUGGAACUACACAGAGAAGAUUAGCAUGGUCCCUGCACAAGGAUGACACACAAAUUCAUGAAGUGUUCCGUGUUUUU
ensembl:snRNA U6 U6 spliceosomal RNA